CCGCACUUCCCCUUCGCUUUGUUUUCUUCCAAUCUGGAGCCUUCCCCUAGCCCAAGGGUUUUCCGCAAAUCUCCGAGCUCUGCCCCUUUCAUCGAUGCCGGAGCCGCAGUAUUCUUUGGAGGUUCCACUCAUUUUCUCCGAAUUAAACGAGGUAUUUACUCUUGAUGCUCGGAAAAAAAAAAAAAGAUUUUUUUUUUUUCCUUCCAUCAACUUCUUCCUAUUCUUUAUGGAGUUUGAUGUUUGAACUGAUGUCAAGGAGUUGUUGAGUGUUCUUUGUAUGAUCAAGACACUGUUAUACUAGACUUUUUCUAAGCGUUAGUCGCUUUUUGUUACAGGACUAUUUUAGCUGAAUGCUCUUUAAUAUCCCUGUGAAAGUGCUGACAUGAUAGACAUCAUCUUUUGGCUAGAGAGGGGUUUAGGGAUGAGAUUAAAAUGUACUAUUGUCUCAUAAAGCAGAGUGUUUUAGAGUGAGAAAAAUAAUGUUCAUUGCUAGUGCUUUUGAACCUAGAAAUCUAAACCGGCUUAAUUGUUUAAACCCCCUGUUUAACUGUCCUUGCCUCUGGGAGAUGAGCUCUGAAUCCAUUAUCUAUGGUAAAUUAGCAAUGAGCACACACCACUAUGUGACUUUUUUUUAAUAAAUAUUGGUUUGAAGCACUAACCUUGUUUUGGGGACACCAAAAGUGAAGCCACCUAAAAAGAGUUGCACCAUGCCAUUCUGUAGUAAAUCAUUCAAAGCAUGUGGCUAAAGGAAGGUAGUGAUAGGUUUUUACUUGUUGCAACUUUUACGUACAUGGUCAAAAGAGAUCAAGUUGCUGCCUUGUGGGCACAGAGAUCCUUUUGGUGCAUUUAUAUUGAUGGAUCUAAGGUGGGACAACUUCCUUGAAACUAGUUGCAGAUCCUCUGUUGUAGUUGUCCAUUGCUUGGUGCUUGUCAACAUUGGCAGAUGCAACCACGAGUGGGCACCAAGCUUGACUGAGGGAGCGGAGCAGCGCAUCCAAACAGAUCAAAAGCAGGGACCAUAUCUUAAUCAUUUCCUUCUCCAAUAAAGUUGCACUUAAGUAGAAACAAGAUAAGAUCGAGUGGAGCCCCCAUAUGUCUGUUAGAUUUUGAUCUAUCCUGGAAUGUUAGGCCUUUUUCCUUGACACUAUAAACGUGUAAGUGGUUAAUUGUGUUGUUCUUAGCACCUUCAACUUGAGGGUGGAACCAACUGAAGUGUUAUCCUAUCCUAUGAUGGUAUGUAGGCGAGAGAGAGAGAGAGAGAGAGAGAGAGAGAGAGAGAGAGAGANNNNNNNNNNNNNNNNNNNNAGAGAGAGAGAGAGAGAGAGAGAGAGAGAGAGAGAGAGAGAGGUAGAACCACCACUAAGUUCAUUGGAUGUGAAAUGGGCAUCAGAAAUACAAAGCAGUCACAUGUCUCUACUCUGAAUUGAUUCCAGUGGACCCCCACAAUUCUUUAAUCUAUGAUUCAACUAUAACUAGCAGUUUGUUUAUGGAAGAUUAGUUUGAUAAGAAUGCACUCGAGCCUCCAUCAUUGUUGACAACCUAAAAUUGUUUGAUCAAGUACCUAAAAGGUUCACACUUCUAUUUUUUGAGAAAAAGGAAAAAGAAAAAUAAGGUUCACACUUCACCAAGAAAAAAUUUCAUACUAGCAUGGCAAGAAUGUCUGCAUAUGGAUGCUAUGCCAGGAUCAUUCAGGAAAGGUUGACAAAGAAAAUCUUCCUUUCUCAGAAUGAGCUUAGUAUAAGUUACAAAUCUACUAGAAAAAUCAAAGGGGGAAGUAAAGUUCUUAACCUUAUGUGACAAAUCCACUAAUCAUGGGAUUGCAUUUCUUGAAGUAUAUAACUACCAAAAUUUUACCGUUCAUUUCUUUUGUUUUGUGGUCAUUUGAGCAUCUCAGUGACAUAAUUUACAUCAAAUUUUAUGCAAAAUAUCAGACGUUGAAUCUAACAAGUGUGCAGCUGACCAGUUGUCAUGUUCAACAAGACCAAGUUUAUUCUUUCUUCUAUUUCAUUGAUCAUCUAUUUGUGCUCCUCAUGGACGCUUUUCUGGUUAUAUGUUUGUAGUAGGCCACCAGUGGUUUGCUCUGACUAACCUUGUAUAAUGUCAAACUCAAAACAUAAUAUUUAUUUACUUUAGCUUAACCUAAAAUAAUAUUAGAAGAUGUUAAUUUACUGAAAAUAAGAAACUCAAUUUUAGAUGACUUCAGCACAUAGAUCUGAUUUUCUGGAGAACAAUGGUAAGAGCAUCACUGAUCAGUUCGAAAAUAUGACGUGUUGCUUCAGCAUAUAGUUCAUCAUAGUGAAAUUAUUACACAUUGAAUUACCACUGGUUGACCCUCAUUUAUAUUCUUGAGAAAGUGCACUAGAACAUGAGGUAUGUUUGGCAACAAAAGCCAUGUAAUUGAUGCCUCUGAGCUUCAUUUCUUAGAUUGACUACUUCAUUGCAUUUGUGCUCAUAAAGGAUGAGAGGUACUGCUGAAGCUUAGCUUAACUGUAAUGUGAUGACUAUAAUUUGCUGGUGCCGUUGUACGAAUUGUUGUUACCGUCAUUUGAUGUAACACUUCAAAAGAUUCCGUUCCUGAUAUCCUGUUGAGUAAAAGAAACCUCUCAAGUCCUCAUUCUCAAGUGGUUACAUCACUAGGUAAACAAGAUGAAAAUUGUGAAAAAUGAUGAACACCCCUUACAUUUAUGAAGGCGAUAGUGUCAAAGCUACAUGUAGUCAUUUUCUAUUUCUUUUGAGAUGUAUGGAGGCUUAGCCAUCCAAAAUUUAUUCAAUUAAUAUAAAUUAUAGAGUUAAAUUUGAAGAGAGAGUAGAAAACAAGUACUGAGAAGUAUUUAGUUUCUACUAAUCAAUCAUAAGAAGAAUAGAAUAACAAAAAUAUAUUCAGUGAUGUAGCGAAAUCUACUAAUAAGUAAUGUUAAUCUUUGUCUUCUGUGAGCAGAAAAGUUCUCCUUCAUUGAAAUUCUAAUCUGCCAAACUACAUGUUGUCAAGAUCAAAAGUUCAGUAUUUCCCUUUUUUUGGGGGUGGGAGGAGGAGGGAGCAUCUGCAUGGGCAGGUCAAAGAAGAAGAUGAUGAAGGAGAAGAAAUUUCUCUUUGUGCAGAAUAUAUUGAAACAUUUUUGUAAUUUCAGACAACCAAUCAAUAAUAAUCUCUCAUAAUCAGCCAUAGAGAAGUUUAGACUUGGAUAUGUCAGCAGUUGUUUAUGUGUGUUUAUUAUUGGAGAAUGGUUUCACUUUCAAAGCAAU
rnacentral:lncRNA from 1 species